rnacentral:rRNA from 1 species
UACGAAGGGGGCUAGCGUUGCUCGGAAUCACUGGGCGUAAAGGGUGCGUAGGCGGGUCUUUAAGUCAGAGGUGAAAUCCUGGAGCUCAACUCCAGAACUGCCUUUGAUACUGAGGAUCUUGAGUACGGGAGAGGUGAGUGGAACUGCGAGUGUAGAGGUGAAAUUCGUAGAUAUUCGCAAGAACACCAGUGGCGAAGGCGGCUCACUGGCCCGAUACUGACGCUGAGGUGCGAAAGCGUGGGGAGCAAACAGGG